rnacentral:piRNA from 1 species
UACAGAAGAGAUUUUAUAAUU